rnacentral:lncRNA from 1 species
ACACGUACCCUAUUCUAGACUUAACAUAUGUUUAUGUGGUCUCAUGCACGAUCCCACGUGUGACCUCGCAAGGGAGUAUAAGUACCCCUCCUGCGAAUACUUAACAUCAUGCGAGCUCAAUUGUAAACUCGAUAUGCGAGCUCAAUCUGCAAACUUGGUAUGCGAGCUUAACAUACAAACCAUGUAGAAUUCAGCCCAAACCCAUUCGGGUUGCGGGU